UUCCUUGCGGGAUCUCAGGCAAGAUGACCAUACCCUCGAAAUCACUUCUAUCUUUGCUUGCUAGAUGCUCGCUCUUUUGCUAUGCCUAUGCUGCGAUACCUAUCACUUGCUUAUCAUUCCUCCUAUAUUGUUGAACCAAGCCUCUAACCCACCUUGUCCUAGCAAACCGUUGUUUGGCUAUGUUACCGCUUUGCUCAGCCCCUCUUAUAGCGUUGUUAGUUGCAGGUGAAGAUUGGAGCUUGAUCCAUGUUGGAACAUGGAUAUUUUGUUGGGAUAUCACAAUAUCUCUUAUUUAAUUAAUGCAUCUAUAUACUUGGUAAAGGGUGGAAGGCUCGGCCUUAUGCCUGGUGUUUUGUUCCACUCUUGUCGCCCUAGUUUCCGUCAUAUCAGUGUUAUGUUCCUGGAUUUUGCGUUCCUUACACGGUUGGGUUAUAAUGGGGACCCCUUGACAGUUCUCCUUGAAUAAAACUCCUCCGGCAAGGCCCAACAUUAUUUUACCAUUUGCCACCUAGCCUUUUCUUUCCCUUGAGUCGGCCAGCUCAAGGGUCAUCUUUAUUUAACCCCCCCCCGGGCCAGUGCUUCUCUAAGUGUUGGUCCAACUGAGCGAUGUCCGAGGCUACCAGGGGCAACUCUGGGCUGGCUUACCCGAUGUCUUGCUCAUCCGGUGUGCCCUGAGAACGAGAUAUGUGCAGCUCCUAUCGGGAUUUGUCGGCACAUCUGGGUGGCUUUGCUGGUCUUGUUUUACCAUUGUCGAAAUGUCUUGUAACCGGGAUUCCGAGCCUGAUCGAGUCUUCCCGCUAGAAGGAAUAUCCUUCGUUGACAGUCAGAGCUUGUGAUGGGCUAAGUUGGGACACCCCUGCAGGGAUUUGAACUUUCGAAAGCCGUGCCCGCGGUUAUGGGCAGAUGGGAAUUUGUUAAUGUCUGGUUGUAGAAAACCUGAAGUUGAUCUUAAUUAAAAUACGUCAACCAUGUGUGUAACCGUGAUGGUCUCUUCUCGGCGGAGUCCGGGAAGUGAACACGAUGUUGGAGUUAUGUUUGACGUAGGUUGUUCUAGGAUCACUUCUUGAUCAUAGUUGUUCGACCGUGCUUUGCCUUCUCUUCUCGCUCCCAUUUGCGUAUGUUAGCCACCAUUUAUGCUAGUCGCUUGUUGCAGCUCCACCUCAUACCUUUACCCUACCCAUAAGCUUAAAUAGUCUUGAUCGCGAGGGUGUGAGAUUGCUAAGUACCCGUGACUCACAGAUACUUCCAAAACCAGUUUGCAGGUGCCGAUGAACCCAUGCAGGUGACGCAACCAAGCUCAAGGAGGAGCUCGAUGAAGAUCUUGGCCGUUGUGUCGUUUCGUUCUAGUUGAUCAGUAGUGGAGCCCAGUUGGGGUCGAUCGGGGAUCUGUGUAGCUUUUGGGGUAGUCUUCUUUUAUUUUGGGUUCCGUAGUCAGACCUUGUUUGUAUCUGGUUGAUGUAAUGCUUUAUUCAUGUAAUUGUGUGACGUGGCGAGUGUAAGCCAACUAUGUAUCUCUUUCCCUUUAUGUAUUACAUGGGUUGUG
rnacentral:lncRNA from 1 species